CCUACGGGAGGCAGCAGUGAGGAAUAUUGGUCAAUGGGCGAGAGCCUGAACCAGCCAAGUCGCGUGAAGGAUGACGGCCCUACGGGUUGUAAACUUCUUUUGUCAGGGAGCAAUUGAGUCCACGUGUGGGCUUAGCGAGAGUACCUGAAGAAAAAGCAUCGGCUAACUCCGUGCCAGCAGCCGCGGUAAUACGGAGGAUGCGAGCGUUAUCCGGAUUUAUUGGGUUUAAAGGGUGCGUAGGCGGGAUGCCAAGUCAGCGGUAAAAAUGCGGUGCUCAACGCCGUCGAGCCGUUGAAACUGGCGUUCUUGAGUGGGCGAGAAGUAUGCGGAAUGCGUGGUGUAGCGGUGAAAUGCAUAGAUAUCACGCAGAACUCCGAUUGCGAAGGCAGCAUACCGGCGCCCUACUGACGCUGAGGCACGAAAGCGUGGGUAUCGAACAGGAUUAGAUACCCGAGUAGUC
rnacentral:rRNA from 1 species